AGGAAUAUUGGUCAAUGGACGAGAGUCUGAACCAGCCAAGUAGCGUGAAGGAUGACUGCCCUAUGGGUUGUAAACUUCUUUUAUACGGGAAUAAAGUUAGCCACGUGUGGUUUUUUGCAUGUACCGUAUGAAUAAGGAUCGGCUAACUCCGUGCCAGCAGCCGCGGUAAUACGGAGGAUCCGAGCGUUAUCCGGAUUUAUUGGGUUUAAAGGGAGCGUAGGCGGGGUAUUAAGUCAGUUGUGAAAGUUUGCGGCUCAACCGUAAAAUUGCAGUUGAUACUGGUAUCCUUGAGUGCAGCAGAGGUGGGCGGAAUUCGUGGUGUAGCGGUGAAAUGCUUAGAUAUCACGAAGAACUCCGAUUGCGAAGGCAGCUCACUGGAGUGUAACUGACGCUGAUGCUCGAAAGUGUGGGUAUCAAACAGGAUUAGAUACCCUGGUAGUCCACACAGUAAACGAUGAAUACUCGCUGUUGGCGAUACAAUGUCAGCGGCCAAGCGAAAGCAUUAAGUAUUCCACCUGGGGAGUACGCCGGCAACGGUGAAACUCAAAGGAAUUGACGGGGGCCCGCACAAGCGGAGGAACAUGUGGUUUAAUUCGAUGAUACGCGAGGAACCUUACCCGGGCUUAAAUUGCAGUGGAAUGUAGUGGAAACAUUACAGCCUUCGGGCCGCUGUGAAGGUGCUGCAUGGUUGUCGUCAGCUCGUGCCGUGAGGUGUCGGCUUAAGUGCCAUAACGAGCGCAACCCUUAUCUAUAGUUACUAUCAGGUCAUGCUGAGGACUCUAUGGAGACUGCCGUCGUAAGAUGUGAGGAAGGUGGGGAUGACGUCAAAUCAGCACGGCCCUUACGUCCGGGGCUACACACGUGUUACAAUGGGGGGUACAGAAGGCAGCUACCUGGCGACAGGAUGCUAAUCCCUAAAACCUCUCUCAGUUCGGAUUGGAGUCUGCAACCCGACUCCAUGAAGCUGGAUUCGCUAGUAAUCGCGCAUCAGCCACGGCGCGGUGAAUACGUUCCCG
rnacentral:rRNA from 1 species